rnacentral:lncRNA from 1 species
GUGCGUGUAACGAUCAGGAGGAGAACAAGGGGGAGCAAACCCUUGUUCAUCCAAAUCAUCAAAUUGAAAGGGAAAUUGGAUACCAAAUCCGUGCAUGAACAUAAAUUCGUGAUCAUCUAAGCUUGGAGAUCAUGAGGUGAUCUUUAUGAUAUCACGGAUGAUUGGUCAAGCAUACGAAGAACCGAACAUGAAGAAAAUUCAAGCUUCUACACUAUGUUUAGUCGAUUACGAAACUAAAUAACGAUAACACGUUGAAUUGUUUUAACUUUUACUAAGUUUUAUGGAACUCGAGUUUGUGUAUGGAUGUUUAUUUGCAUUUAUACAUUUAAAUGUAAAAGUUUCUAUCAA